rnacentral:piRNA from 1 species
UACAAGAGUCCUCAGCAUUCAAUGCCAG